GCCCGGGUAGCUCAGUUGGUAGAGCAGAGGACUGAAAAUCCUCGUGUCACUGGUUCAAUUCCGGUCCCGGGCACCA
rnacentral:tRNA from 1 species